AUUGAACGCUGGCGGCAGGCUUAACACAUGCAAGUCGAGGGUGACGGCGGACGGGUGAGUAAUGUCUGGGACACUGCCUGAUGGAGGGGGAUAACUACUGGAAACGGUAGCUAAUACCGGAUACCGAAAGAUCGGCCCGCGUCUGAUUAGCUAGUUGGUAGGGUAAUGGCCUACCAAGGCGACGAUCAGUAGCUGGGCUGAGAGGAUGAUCAGCCACAUUGGGACUGAGACACGGCCCAAAAUCCGACGGUAUGCAGCAGUGGGGAAUAUUGGGCAAUGGGGGCAACCCGGGUCCAGCCAUGCGGCGUGAGUGAUGAAGGCGCUAGUGUUGUAAAGCCAUUUUGUGCGGGAAUCGGUACCACAAGAAUAAGCACCGGCUAACUUCGUGCCAGCCGCCGCGGUAAUAC
rnacentral:rRNA from 1 species